GAUGAACGCUGGCGGCGUGCCUAAUACAUGCAAGUCGAGCGAACGGACGAGAAGCUUGCUUCUCUGAUGUUAGCGGCGGACGGGUGAGAAACACGUGGAUAACCUACCUAUAAGACUGGGAUAACUUCGGGAAACCGGAGCUAAUACCGGAUAAUAUUUUGAACCGCAUGGUUCAAAAGUGAAAGACGGUCUUGCUGUCACUUAUAGAUGGAUCCGCGCUGCAUUAGCUAGUUGGUAAGGUAACGGCUUACCAAGGCAACGAUGCAUAGCCGACCUGAGAGGGUGAUCGGCCACACUGGAACUGAGACACGGUCCAGACUCCUACGGGAGGCAGCAGUAGGGAAUCUUCCGCAAUGGGCGAAAGCCUGACGGAGCAACGCCGCGUGAGUGAUGAAGGUCUUCGGAUCGUAAAACUCUGUUAUUAGGGAAGUACAUAUGUGUAAGUAACUGUGCACAUCUUGACGGUACCUAAUCAGAAAGCCACGGCUAACUACGUG
rnacentral:rRNA from 1 species